CAACAUUGGAAAUCCGACAGCCAGGGAUGUGAGCGUGUAUCUGGGAAACCGAGGCCGGGUAGCUGGGUGAGAGCGCCUGCUCGCUCCACGUGUACUCCUCAGUGACGCUGGGGGUGUGUUCUGGACACAGCAGGGGAGAGCGCACAUUCCGGCAGGAGACAGACUGUAAACCGUGGACACAGAAGGGAUGGAGGUCUCUCCUUGUUUUUCAGGCCAGGUGCGAGGCUCCAGGAGGGCCCCCGAUGAUGCCCACACAGCGUGAAGUGGCAGAGGUAGGACCUGAACAGGUCCGUGUGUGCCCCAUGCAGGACCACCUUCCGCCUGACCUCCGUCCAUCUGCCGCGUCAACACGAUGUAGGAGGAGCCCCCAGCUCUGCUAGCCGGUCCCGAGCUCCCAAGGACGCAGCUCGCUCUGCCCAAAACACUGGC